GGCGGUUCUUGGGUGACACAUUCUGGAUUUGGGUUCCCUCCUUUCUGGUUACGGGUGUGUCACCUGGGAUCCACA
rfam:Myotis davidii contig186060, whole genome shotgun sequence.